rnacentral:rRNA from 2 species
UUCCUAUACAUGCAAGUCGAGCGGACAGAUGGGAGCUUGCUCCCUGAUGUUAGCGGCGGACGGGUGAGUAACACGUGGGUAACCUGCCUGUAAGACUGGGAUAACUCCGGGAAACCGGGGCUAAUACCGGAUGCUUGAUUGAACCGCAUGGUUCAAUUAUAAAAGGUGGCUUCUGCUAUCACUUACCGAUGGACCCGCGGCGCAUUAACUAGUUGGUGAAGUAACGGCUCACCAAGGGCACCAUGCCUAACCCACCUGAAAGGGUGAUCGGCCACACUGGGACUGAAACACGGCCCAAACUCCUACGGGAGGCAGCAGUAAGGAAUCUUCCGCAAUGGACGAAAGUCUGACGGAACAACGCCCCGUGAGUGAUGAAGGUUUUCCGAUCCUAAAACUCUGUUGUUAAGGAAGAACAAGUACCGUUCGAAUAAGGCGGUACCUUGACGGUACCUAACCAGAAAGCCACGGCUAACUACGUGCCAGCAGCCGCGGUAAUACGUAAGUGGCAAGCGUUGUCCGGAAUUAUUGGGCGUAAAGCGCGCGCAAGCGGUUUCCUAAGUCUGAUGUGAAAGCCCCCGGCUCAACCGGGGAGGGUCAUUGGAAACUGGGGAACUUGAGUGCAAAAAAGAGAGUGGAAUUCCACGUGUACCGGUGAAAUGCGUAAGAUGUGGAGAACACCAGUGGCGAAGCGACUCCUCUGGUCUGUAACUGACGCCUGAAGCGCCGAAAGCGUGGGGAGCGACAGGAUUAAUACCCUGGUAGUCCACGCCGUAAACGAUGAUGCUAGUGUUAGAAGGUUUCCGCCCUUUAUGCUGCAGCAACGCAUAGCACUCCGCCUGGGGAGUACGUCGCAGACUGAACUC